GUGAGGAAUAUUGGUCAAUGGGCGAGAGCCUGAACCAGCCAAGUAGCGUGAGGGAUGACUGCCCUAUGGGUUGUAAACCUCUUUUGCAGGGGGGUAAAGUGGUCCACGUGUGGAUCAUUGCAAGUACCCUGCGAAUAAGGAUCGGCUAACUCCGUGCCAGCAGCCGCGGUAAUACGGAGGAUCCGAGCGUUAUCCGGAUUUAUUGGGUUUAAAGGGAGCGUAGGCGGGGGUUUAAGUCAGCUGUGAAAUGCCGUGGCCCAACCAUGGAACUGCAGUUGAAACUGGACCUCUUGAGAGUACAUAAGGAAGGCGGAAUUCGUGGUGUAGCGGUGAAAUGCAUAGAUAUCACGAAGUACUCCGAUUGCGAAGGCAGCUUUCCGGGGUACAUCUGACGCUGAAGCUCGAAAGUGCGGGAAUCAAACAGGAUUAGAAACCCGAGUAGUCC
rnacentral:rRNA from 1 species